UAUUCGUGGUGUGGGCAUUGCAACAAAAGUGAUUUGAAGCGAUCCCAUGCUUCAUGAAAGAAAUCAGUAUCCUUUUGAUAAAAAUUAGAAAUUUUAGGUCUUAAUUC
rfam:Ricinus communis cultivar Hale ctg_1100012356752, whole genome shotgun sequence.